AAGUCGUAACAAGGUUUCCGUAGGUGAACCUGCGGAAGGAUCAUUACUGAAGAUCAUAGGGUUUUGAGACUGCGUCAAUAUUGGCGUGUGCUCGACCCUUACUCUUUAUCCACACACACCUUUGUGCACCAUGGGACGAUAAAAAGUCCCCUUUUAUACAUAAACACCGAGUUAUAUGCAUGUUUUUAUACGCUCUACGGAGUAAUAUACAACUUUCAACAACGGAUCUCUUGGCUUUC
rnacentral:misc_RNA from 1 species